GGUUAAGCGACUAAGCGUACACGGUGGAUGCCCUGGCAGUCAGAGGCGAUGAAGGACGUGCUAAUCUGCGAUAAGCGUCGGUAAGGUGAUAUGAACCGUUAUAACCGGCGAUUUCCGAAUGGGGAAACCCAGUGUGUUUCGACACACUAUCAUUAACUGAAUCCAUAGGUUAAUGAGGCGAACCGGGGGAACUGAAACAUCUAAGUACCCCGAGGAAAAGAAAUCAACCGAGAUUCCCCCAGUAGCGGCGAGCGAACGGGGAGCAGCCCAGAGCCUGAAUCAGUGUGUGUGUUAGUGGAAGCGUCUGGAAAGGCGCGCGAUACAGGGUGACAGCCCCGUACACAAAAAUGCACAUACUGUGAGCUCGAUGAGUAGGGCGGGACACGUGGUAUCCUGUCUGAAUAUGGGGGGACCAUCCUCCAAGGCUAAAUACUCCUGACUGACCGAUAGUGAACCAGUACCGUGAGGGAAAGGCGAAAAGAACCCCGGCGAGGGGAGUGAAAAAGAACCUGAAACCGUGUACGUACAAGCAGUGGGAGCCUCUUAAUGGGGUGACUGCGUACCUUUUGUAUAAUGGGUCAGCGACUUAUAUUCUGUAGCAAGGUUAACCGAAUAGGGGAGCCGAAGGGAAACCGAGUCUUAACUGGGCGUUAAGUUGCAGGGUAUAGACCCGAAACCCGGUGAUCUAGCCAUGGGCAGGUUGAAGGUUGGGUAACACUAACUGGAGGACCGAACCGACUAAUGUUGAAAAAUUAGCGGAUGACUUGUGGCUGGGGGUGAAAGGCCAAUCAAACCGGGAGAUAGCUGGUUCUCCCCGAAAGCUAUUUAGGUAGCGCCUCGUGAAUUCAUCUCCGGGGGUAGAGCACUGUUUCGGCAAGGGGGUCAUCCCGACUUACCAACCCGAUGCAAACUGCGAAUACCGGAGAAUGUUAUCACGGGAGACACACGGCGGGUGCUAACGUCCGUCGUGAAGAGGGAAACAACCCAGACCGCCAGCUAAGGUCCCAAAGUCAUGGUUAAGUGGGAAACGAUGUGGGAAGGCCCAGACAGCCAGGAUGUUGGCUUAGAAGCAGCCAUCAUUUAAAGAAAGCGUAAUAGCUCACUGGUCGAGUCGGCCUGCGCGGAAGAUGUAACGGGGCUAAACCAUGCACCGAAGCUGCGGCAGCGACGUUUAUGCGUUGUUGGGUAGGGGAGCGUUCUGUAAGCCUGCGAAGGUGUACUGUGAGGUAUGCUGGAGGUAUCAGAAGUGCGAAUGCUGACAUAAGUAACGAUAAAGCGGGUGAAAAGCCCGCUCGCCGGAAGACCAAGGGUUCCUGUCCAACGUUAAUCGGGGCAGGGUGAGUCGACCCCUAAGGCGAGGCCGAAAGGCGUAGUCGAUGGGAAACAGGUUAAUAUUCCUGUACUUGGUGUUACUGCGAAGGGGGGACGGAGAAGGCUAUGUUGGCCGGGCGACGGUUGUCCCGGUUUAAGCGUGUAGGCUGGUUUUCCAGGCAAAUCCGGAAAAUCAAGGCUGAGGCGUGAUGACGAGGCACUACGGUGCUGAAGCAACAAAUGCCCUGCUUCCAGGAAAAGCCUCUAAGCAUCAGGUAACAUCAAAUCGUACCCCAAACCGACACAGGUGGUCAGGUAGAGAAUACCAAGGCGCUUGAGAGAACUCGGGUGAAGGAACUAGGCAAAAUGGUGCCGUAACUUCGGGAGAAGGCACGCUGAUAUGUAGGUGAAGUCCCUCGCGGAUGGAGCUGAAAUCAGUCGAAGAUACCAGCUGGCUGCAACUGUUUAUUAAAAACACAGCACUGUGCAAACACGAAAGUGGACGUAUACGGUGUGACGCCUGCCCGGUGCCGGAAGGUUAAUUGAUGGGGUUAGCGGUAACGCGAAGCUCUUGAUCGAAGCCCCGGUAAACGGCGGCCGUAACUAUAACGGUCCUAAGGUAGCGAAAUUCCUUGUCGGGUAAGUUCCGACCUGCACGAAUGGCGUAAUGAUGGCCAGGCUGUCUCCACCCGAGACUCAGUGAAAUUGAACUCGCUGUGAAGAUGCAGUGUACCCGCGGCAAGACGGAAAGACCCCGUGAACCUUUACUAUAGCUUGACACUGAACAUUGAGCCUUGAUGUGUAGGAUAGGUGGGAGGCUUUGAAGUGUGGACGCCAGUCUGCAUGGAGCCGGCCUUGAAAUACCACCCUUUAAUGUUUGAUGUUCUAACGUUGGCCCCUUACCGGGGUUGCGGACAGUGUCUGGUGGGUAGUUUGACUGGGGCGGUCUCCUCCUAAAGAGUAACGGAGGAGCACGAAGGUUGGCUAAUCCUGGUCGGACAUCAGGAGGUUAGUGCAAUGGCAUAAGCCAGCUUGACUGCGAGCGUGACGGCGCGAGCAGGUGCGAAAGCAGGUCAUAGUGAUCCGGUGGUUCUGAAUGGAAGGGCCAUCGCUCAACGGAUAAAAGGUACUCCGGGGAUAACAGGCUGAUACCGCCCAAGAGUUCAUAUCGACGGCGGUGUUUGGCACCUCGAUGUCGGCUCAUCACAUCCUGGGGCUGAAGUAGGUCCCAAGGGUAUGGCUGUUCGCCAUUUAAAGUGGUACGCGAGCUGGGUUUAGAACGUCGUGAGACAGUUCGGUCCCUAUCUGCCGUGGGCGCUGGAGAACUGAGGGGGGCUGCUCCUAGUACGAGAGGACCGGAGUGGACGCAUCACUGGUGUUCGGGUUGUCAUGCCAAUGGCACUGCCCGGUAGCUAAAUGCGGAAGAGAUAAGUGCUGAAAGCAUCUAAGCACGAAACUUGCCCCGAGAUGAGUUCUCCCUGACUCUUUAAGGGUCCUGAAGGAACGUUGAAGACGACGACGUUGAUAGGCCGGGUGUGUAAGCGCAGCGAUGCGUUGAGCUAACCGGUACUAAUGAACCGUGAGGCUUAACCUU
rnacentral:rRNA from 1 species